UCAAUUCCCUUGACUUCCUACUUUCCCACAAAUCUCAUAUUUUGGUGGUUCGAAAAGGGGGCGGGGACGUCCCCGACAGGUUAUAGGAACGUAAACACACCAACAUCAGUUGUCAAGUGAUGGUGGGAGGACAAAUACAAACAAAUACAUACAUACAUGCAUAUAUAUAUAUAUGAAACCGAUAGAAUAAGUACUAGGCUUACAAAGAAUAAGUCCUGGGGUUGAUUUGUUCGACUAAAAGCAGUGCUCCAGCAUGGCCACAGUCAAAUGACUGAAACAAGUAAAAGAUAUUUUAAUUUCAUUUAUGUCUCCCCUCUCUUUCAAGGAAGGCUCAUUCUUUCUUACUUUAUCCAUAGUCUCUCAUCAUUCUAUCUUUCUCUCUCACUCUCCACACAAAAAUGAAAUGCAUUAGUUACCCCAUUGGUGCCAAAAAAUUCCAAAAGGAAAUUGAAAUUUUUUUUUCUAAUUGACUUGAUCCCAUAUCAAAUCUAUUCUGCAAUUUGGGGUUAAUAUAUCCAGUGAUUUUAAGAGGUAUGUAAAAGAAAUUUUAUUUUAACAUUAUACUUUUACCUGUUUCACACACACAAACAUUUUUAAAAAGACUUUAUUCUUUAUGUCUUCUGCCCAGACUCCGUUAGCACUAACUUUAGUAUUUUCACCUAUUCUUCUCAAACUUGCUUGAAUUUUCAAUCUAAUGUAACCUACACUCUCAAAAACACAUUUCUAUAAAAUAUUAUCUAAAAGUAUGGGUAAAGACAAGGAGCUAAUGCAGUUUUUCACCUCACCUUCAAAAAUGCAUUUUAAAAAAAUUUCUUCAGAUUCCUAAGUUUUAUUUAGAUAUUGGAGACAUGCAAAAAAAAAAAAAAAAAAAAAAAAAAGACAGUUUGAUUGAGGCAAGGCAGGAAAAUCUAAUCGGGAUUAUUAUAUAUAUUAUAUCCAGUGAUUUUAAGAGGCAAUGCCCAUGACUGUUUUCAAGGCCUCUGAGAGUAAUGGGAAAAUGAAAGGAAGAAAACAUGUUCCAAAUGUUAUCAUGUACAUCGUAGAUCACUAGACCCAAAUGCUUGCAACAGAGUGGAGCCUGCUAAAGGAACCCAAGGGUCAAAUGACAUACUAGUUUCCUGCAUACAUGACCUGCUGGUGCCAUUCUUUUGUCUGUAAAAUUUAGUAUGCAUGUAUGUCAAGCAACAAGUAGAGACCAGGAUGUCUGCAGACUCAACAAGAAAAAAUAACCCUGAGGCUCACACGAACUUGCUUUUAUUUAACCCUUUUAUUGUGGAAACUAAAGAUAUCAAACCAAAUUUUACAGCCAAAAAUGGUAGGUCAACUUACAUACCAAAAUGAUUUGGACGACUGAAAAUUCCAUGUGAAAUGCAGCAGGUAGUGAUGAUAUUUGAAUGUUUACACUAUAAGCUACAUUGAUUUGUAUGCCAUAAAAUACAGUGGCUCUAGAUACACUGUGCCUAAAAAAAGGAAGAUGAAACAGUUACAACCAGAUUACCAUGAUCAUAUGUUUGCGUGAUGGAGGCUGAUCUAUGGCUAAAUCUCAAUAACAAGAAUAUCAAUGAAAUUAUAAGUUGUGUACAAAUUCAGUUUUAUUGAAAUAAAAAUCAAGUGACUCACAGUUAAAUUAAUGUCAGUCAAACAUGAUCUGACAAAGUUCAAUUUGGCUUCAGGAUCUUGUGAUUUAUUAGCUUGUAA